rnacentral:lncRNA from 1 species
CAGGGACAAUUUUAUACAUUCCCAACAUUUUUAUAUGAACUAACAUUUUAUAGUUAAAAUAGCUUAUUUAUUUAAUAUACUUAAGGAUAUCAAGAUAUUACCAAAUUUAUUAUAAUACAUAAAGUACCCUCAUUAUAAAACAAUAUUGGAGAAUAAUUUCAGAUUUUUAGAGGUGUAUUUUGGCACCAUUCAUAUAUUUCUUGCCAAAAAUUUUUUAUGAUUACAAGUUUCCGUCCUAUUAUUUAUUCCAUGUGAUAUUUUUUCUUUACUUUCUAUUUGUAAUCACUGACAGAAAUUUAUUUUAUAAGUAUCUAUAUAUUUAUCUGACAUUCCAUAUUGUUAUUGAAAUGUUUUCCGUCCAAAACAUACUUGUGAUAAAAAAAUAUCCGCAUACAUCUUUUUUGUGGAAUGUUUAGGCCGUAUUUAUGUCUUUUUUUUUUUUUUAUUGUUUUACAAUUAUAUAUCUACUUUGUUUUGUGUAAACUGUCUAACAUUUUGUCUAAUUUUAGAAGUGUUUUGGGUUGACAGUAUGGGUAUAGUUGAUACAUUAAUACAUUCAAACAUCAAUAGUUUGAUAAUAAAUGAGUAGAAUC